rnacentral:rRNA from 1 species
UACAGAGGGGGCAAGCGUUGUUCGGAAUUACUGGGCGUAAAGGGCGCGUAGGCGGCAUGACAAGUCACUUGUGAAAUCUCUGGGCUUAACUCAGAACGGCCAAGUGAUACUGUCGCGCUAGAGUGCAGAAAGGGCAAUCGGAAUUCUUGGUGUAGCGGUGAAAUGCGUAGAUAUCAAGAGGAACACCUGAGGCGAAGGCGGGUUGCUAGGCUGACACUGACGCUGAUGCGCGAAAGCCAGGGGAGCAAACGGG